GUUAAAUUCUUGGGUGGAUUCAAUGGUCAAUCGUGGGAAUCGCUAUCUCUACUGUUAUUCAAGAAGUCACAGUCUACAUCACAGGUUCUAUUACCAAUCGGUCACCAGUAGUAGCUAAUCGAUUCGUGUCUCAUUUGAGUUUGCUAGAAACACUAGAAACGAACAAAAUGAAAAUUUGGUUCUCCUUUUUGGGACUUGUAUUGUUGUGCUUAACUGUCCAGGGUCAAGUUUGCGAUGAGUGUGACGUGGAACUACCCCUAGAAGCUCCUGAAGAUGUUGUUGAAGCCUUUCCGAUACAAAAUACACCAGAUGAGUCAGACGCACAAAUGAAAAACGUAAUUGAUGCCCCAGUGGUUUGCCCGGAAGGUCAGAAACCUGACCACAAAGGAAAAUGUCGAGUUGUUUGGAGUAGGACAGCACCAAUCAAGCAGCAAUACGUACCUUAGGAGUAUUCAAUAAAUAAGAUCACAACGUA